rnacentral:rRNA from 1 species
GAUGAACGCUGGCGGCGUGCCUAAUACAUGCAAGUCGAGCGAAUGGAUUAAGAGCUUGCUCUUAUGAAGUUAGCGGCGGACGGGUGAGUAACACGUGGGUAACCUGCCCAUAAGACUGGGAUAACCCCGGGAAACCGGGGCUAAUACCGGAUAACAUUUUGAACCGCAUGGUUCGAAAUUGAAGGGCGGCUUGGGCUGGCACUUAUGGAUGGACCCGCGUCGCAGUAGCUAGUUGGUGAGGUAACGGCUCACCAAGGCAACGAUGCGUAGCCGACCUGAGAGGGUGAUCGGCCACACUGGGACUGAGACACGGCCCAGACUCCUACGGGAGGCAGCAGUAGGGAAUCUUCCGCAAUGGACGAAAGUCUGACGGAGCAACGCCGCGUGAGUGAUGAAGGCUUUCGGGUCGUAAAACUCUGUUGUUAGGGAAGAACAAGUGCUAGUUGAAUAAGCUGACACCUUGACGGUACCUAACCAGAAAGCCACGGCUAACUACGUGCCAGCCGCCGCAGUAA